CACUCCCACUAUUUGUGUCUCUCUAGGACAUUUUUUAGACUCCAGGCAGACCCUGGUAGAUUCAAGGCACUCCUUGAAAAAUGUCAGCUUUUAGUUUUCACGUGAUUUUUGGAUUAUAGGAAGAUACUAGAGCAAUUUCUUCUCUUGUCAUGAACUCAGAAAGACCACAACAUGUUUUCAGCACUGUGGAUUGUCUUUGAAAUCUGCUGUGUUCAUCUUGUGACUCGUGUUUGCACAGUGCUAAAACUACACGGCAGCCUGUAACACCCCUGAAAGGAACUCAAGGCACCCUAGGAUGUCAGCAUGGCGCUGUGGCUGGGAUUCGCUGCUCUAGGAGUCUCGUCCAGGAAAUGCCUAGCAUUUUGCCACCUGGAAAGAGCACUGAUCCCCAUAGAGUUUGUGCCCUGAGAACUUCUGCAGCCUGUUACUGGAGAGCACAAACAACUCUUUUCUAGAGACUGCCCAUGUCGCCAUAGGUCAGAGGCAAUUACUGGAUGUCUACUGUUAUUCAGACUGAAUUCACACAAGUGCAUCCCAGGCUCAGCAGUUUUCUGCAGGAUGUUUUUCCUCUCAUAAAGCACCUGAAAAUAAACUUCACUCGAAGCUUAGCAAGCAUCCAUCUCCCAGCCUUCAGUCGCAGACCACACGCACCACUUACUACCUCCAGUCUCAGCCUAUUUCACUUUGCAAAGUGCUUUGGUUACCAGCUGUGUGAGAGACUCCACGUAAAAUAAACAGGCAUUCAUCUCUGCCCAGA